CGGGAGGGCUUUGUACUUCCAAUUUUUUUCAACAUUUUCGAAUAAAAGCCUCCGUUUCUUCCUUCUCCUACUUGACUGGUGGGAGGUGAAAUGAGGCCCAACGCUGUUGCUGUCGCCGACACCACCGUCAUUUCCACCGCGGCGUAUCCGCCGCAUGAUUCUGAUUUCACUCCCGUUGAUCUCCUGAUGAGACCUUGCCUGGGCCUGAGGUUCACGCUCUGCCGUCUGGUGAGGUUGACGAGCAUGACGACGAUGCCUAUUUGAUAUGAAGGUGCUGUUUAAACUUUAAUAUCUUACAUGUCUAUGCAUUAAUACAACAUAUUAUUUGCUGAUGCUAGUACCUAUUUUAAUUGAUGUAAUGAAAUCAAAUGCACCUCUCCAAAUUCAUGUUUUUGUGGUUCCUGUUUGUGGAAAAUUUUCUCUCAAUUGCUUCCUCAUGGAUGAUUGACCAACAAUAUAUUUUAAUAAUUAAGUCUCUUGCUGAUAAAACAAUCUACAAUGCACUGUGGGAAAUGAGCGUGAAAGUUUAAACAUAAAAGGGAAACAUAAAAGGGAAAGUAUACGCAUAAAGGGUAAAUAUAAUGUAUAUAAGCCUGAAUUAUAUAAGUCUAAAUUAAAAUGAAUUAAAUUGUAA
rnacentral:misc_RNA from 1 species